rnacentral:rRNA from 1 species
UACAGAGGUCUCAAGCGUUGUUCGGAUUCAUUGGGCGUAAAGGGUGCGUAGGCGGUGUGUCGCGUCGGCCGUGAAAACCUGCAGCUUAACUGUGGGCUUGCGGUCGAUACGGGCAUCACUGGAGUUCGGCAGGGGAGACUGGAAUUCUGGUGUAGCGGUGAAAUGCGCAGAUAUCAGGAGGAACACCGGUGGCGAAGGCGGGUCUCUGGGCCGAUACUGACGCUGAGGAGCGAAAGCGUGGGGAGCGAACAGG